AUGCCUGUAGCUCAAUUGGAUAGAGCGCCAAACUUCGGAUUUGGAAGUUGAAAGUUCAAAUCUUUCCAGGCAUA
rnacentral:tRNA from 1 species